UGGGAGAUCAUCUAACGGUAGGAUAGCGGACUCUGAAUCCGUUCAUCUUGGUUCGAAUCCAAGUCUCCCAG
rnacentral:tRNA from 1 species